GUGGGUAUGGUGCGGGCUGAGUUGGAAACGUUUGUUGGCCCUGUGGUGGGUAUGGUGCGGGCUGAGUUGGAAACGUUUGUUGGCCCUGUGGUGGGUAUGGUGCGGGCUGAGUUGGAUUUGUUUGUGGUCCUUGUGGUGGAUAUGGUGCAGGCCGAGUGGGCCCAUUUGAGUACAUCGGAUUGGUUUGUGGGCCUUGGGGCGGGAACUGUGAGGGCUGGGCUGGUUGGCCCCCAUAUCCCUGAUUAGCUUGUGGCGGGUUGUACUGCUG
rnacentral:lncRNA from 1 species